rnacentral:rRNA from 1 species
UCGCCUAGGGAUUUCUCGAUGUAGGCUCAGGUUGUUGGGGAGGUAAUAGCUCCCCAAGCCGACGACCCUUCGCCGGUCUUCGCGGACGAUCGGCCACAUGGGGACUGAGACAAGGCCCCAACGUUUCUACGGCAGCAGUGUGGAAUCUUGGGCAAUGGGGGCAACCCUGACCCAGCUAUGUCGCGAGGGCGAGAACGGCUGUAAACGGUAUCAGGUCGUAAAGCUCUGUCGGCAGGGGGGAGAAUGACGUACCCUGCGGAAGCUAGCUCCGGCCAACCUCGUGCCAGCAGCCGCGGUAAUACGAGGGGAGCGAGUGUUCUACGGUCAAACUGGGCGUAAAGGGUUCUCCGGCGGAAAUGGGUGUGUAGGGUGGGAGCAUUCCGCCUGUUAAGCGGGAUCGUCCCCUAAACUCCAUUUCAUGAGUUGGAGCGGCGAGGGCGGAAGUCCAGGACGAGCGUUAGCAUGCUUAGACGCCUGGAGGACGGCCAUGGGCGCAGGCCUCCCUCGAGCUCCGACUGACGCUUCGGAACGAAAGCGUGGGGAGCGAUCGGGAUUAGAGACCCCGGUAGUCCACGCCCUGAUCGAU